rnacentral:tRNA from 1 species
GGUUGUGGCUCAGCGGUAUAGCACUCGCCUCGCACAUGCGAGGCCCUGGGUUCAAACCUUAGCACCA